rnacentral:rRNA from 1 species
UUAAAUUGAAGAGUUUGAUCAUGGCUCAGAUUGAACGCUGGCGGCAGGCCUAACACAUGCAAGUCGAACGGUAACAGGAAGCAGCUUGCUGCUUUGCUGACGAGUGGCGGACGGGUGAGUAAUGUCUGGGAAACUGCCUGAUGGAGGGGGAUAACUACUGGAAACGGUGG